UACAGAGGUCCCGAGCGUUGUUCGGAUUCACUGGGCGUAAAGGGUGCGUAGGUGGUGGGGUAAGUCGGAUGUGAAGGCUCGGAGCUCAACUCCGAAAUGGCAUUGGAAACUACCCUGCUGGAGGUUUGGAGGGGGGACUGGAAUACUUGGUGUAGCAGUGAAAUGCGUAGAUAUCAAGUGGAACACCAGUGGCGAAGGCGAGUCCCUGGACAAAACCUGACACUGAGGCACGAAAGCUAGGGGAGCAAACAGG
rnacentral:rRNA from 1 species